GUAGGUGAACCUGCGGAAGGAUCAUUAACACGUAUCCAAACGUAAAACCCCCCGUGAACAAUAUCCGCUUAUCUCCUGACGCUUGCAGCGACUUCCUUGCCCUGUACAUAUAUUGUGCGCUUGUGCCAACAAGAACACAAAAAGGAUGGGGUAUGGGGACUCUCUGUCGGUGGACUGGAUCGAGAGGUUCGUAAAAGUGCUCGGUUGCCCCUGUUCCCUGGAAUGUAGCGGGUGAUAGUGGGAUCUCUGU
rnacentral:misc_RNA from 1 species